AACGAACGCUGGCGGCAGGCCUAACACAUGCAAGUCGAGCGGAGAGAGGUAGCUUGCUACCGAUCUUAGCGGCGGACGGGUGAGUAAUGCUUAGGAAUCUGCCUAUUAGUGGGGGACAACAUUUCGAAAGGAAUGCUAAUACCGCAUACGUCCUACGGGAGAAAGCAGGGGAUCUUCGGACCUUGCGCUAAUAGAUGAGCCUAAGUCGGAUUAGCUAGUUGGUGGGGUAAAGGCCUACCAAGGCGACGAUCUGUAGCGGGUCUGAGAGGAUGAUCCGCCACACUGGGACUGAGACACGGCCCAGACUCCUACGGGAGGCAGCAGUGGGGAAUAUUGGACAAUGGGCGCAAGCCUGAUCCAGCCAUGCCGCGUGUGUGAAGAAGGCCUUAUGGUUGUAAAGCACUUUAAGCGAGGAGAAGGCUACUUUAGUUAAUACCUAGAGAUAGUGGACGUUACUCGCAGAAUAAGCACCGGCUAACUCUGUGCCAGCCGCCGCCGUAAAAC
rnacentral:rRNA from 1 species